rnacentral:rRNA from 1 species
UACGUAGGGUGCAAGCGUUGUCCGGAAUUAUUGGGCGUAAAGAGCGUGUAGGCGGCCCGGUUAGUCCGCUGUGAAAGUCCAGGGCUCAACCCUGGAAUGCCGGUGGAUACUGUCGGGCUAGAGUCCGGAAGGGGCGAGUGGAAUUCCUGGUGUAGCGGUGAAAUGCACAGAUAUCAGGAGGAACACCAAUGGCGAAGGCAGCUCGCUGGGACGUGACUGACGCUGAGACGCGAAAGCGUGGGGAGCAAACAGG